rnacentral:pre_miRNA from 1 species
AUUUUAGUAUAACUGUGUCUUAUGCAAUAUUUGAGAUAUACUUAUGCUAACA